UACGUAGGUGGCAAGCGUUGUCCGGAAUUACUGGGCGUAAAGGGCGCGUAGGCGGCCUUCUAAGCCGAACGUGAAAUCCCCGGGCUCAACCCGGGAACUGCGUCCGAUACUGGAAGGCUUGAAUCCGGGAGAGGGAUGCGGAAUUCCAGGUGUAGCGGUGAAAUGCGUAGAUAUCUGGAGGAACACCGGUGGCGAAGGCGGCAUCCUGGACCGGCAUUGACGCUGAGGCGCGAAAGCCAGGGGAGCAAACGGG
rnacentral:rRNA from 1 species